CAGCCGCCGCGAUAAUACAGAGGGUGCAAGCGUUAAUCGGAAUUACUGGGCGUAAAGCGCGCGUAGGUGGUUUGUUAAGUUGGAUGUGAAAUCCCCGGGCUCAACCUGGGAACUGCAUCCAAAACUGGCAAGCUAGAGUAUGGUAGAGGGUGGUGGAAUUUCCUGUGUAGCGGUGAAAUGCGUAGAUAUAGGAAGGAACACCAGUGGCGAAGGCGACCACCUGGACUGAUACUGACACUGAGGUGCGAAAGCGUGGGGAGCAAACAGGAUUAGAGACCCCUGUAGUCCCUGUCUCUUAUAC
rnacentral:rRNA from 1 species